rnacentral:rRNA from 1 species
UGCCUACGGGUGGCAGCAGCUAAGAAUAUUCCGCAAUGGACGGAAGUCUGACGGAGCGACGCCGCGUGGAUGAUGAAGGCCGAAAGGUUGUAAAGUUCUUUUGCUGGGGAAGAAUAAGCCUAGGAGGGAAUGCCUAGGUGAUGACAUGAACCGGCGAAUAAGCCCCGGCCAACUACGUGCCAGCAGCCGCGGUAACACGUAGGGGGCGAGCGUUGUUCGGAAUUACUGGGCGUAAAGGGCAUGUAGGCGGGCUGGUAAGCCUGGCGUGAAAGACUGCGGCUUAACUGCAGGGAUGCGCUGGGAACUGCUGGGCUUGAGUGACGGAGAGGGAGCUGGAAUUCCUGGUGUAGGGGUGAAAUCUGUAGAUAUCAGGAAGAACACCGAUGGCGAAGGCAAGCUCCUGGCCGAUGACUGACGCUGAGGUGCGAAAGUGUGGGGAUCAAACAGGAUUAGAUACCCCGGUAGUCA